rnacentral:misc_RNA from 1 species
CCAACAGUCACGCUCCAAAUUUAAACGCGCGCUGUGGCCUCGAAGACACACGCAUUCUCUGACGCGGCCGUUCACCGGCGACGCGCCCGAACCGAUUGAGAUGAUUCCAUCCCCUGAAUGCCUGAGAGGCGCAGCGUUGCGAUGAGUGCGUUGCGGAGGCGUCACUCGUGAGUGGCAUUGAAUCUCCUAGGGCGCUAUUAUCGUCGGAGCUAGCCAGAGGAAGUGGCCUCCUCGGCUAGAAGGCCCGGGCGCAAGGUCCGCCACUAUUCCGAUGCGUGCCGGGCCACUCAUGCCGCCUUCGCAAGGUCGACUUCGCCCAGCCUUCCUCACCGAAGGCCUCUC